rnacentral:lncRNA from 1 species
AGAUCAUCAUCUUCAAAGCUAUUUUCCUCAUUUUAUAGGAAUGGUGCCACGUAUGAGUUCUCCCAAAGCGGAACCUGAGACAGACAGAUGCACCAGAGGUUGGAAAAGCUGUAAGUCCAUGAUGCAGAUUACCCCUGUGGAGGAGAAGGGAAGGAAGGAUGCUUGGGUAGAAAAGACCACAAGACUAUAGCAGAGUUCUAAGACCAAGGCCCUUACCAGAAGCCAGAACCACGUCCUUGAACAGAGCAGCUUGCA